CGCAGCCGCGGUAAUUCCAGCUCCAAUAGCGUAUAUUUAAGUUGUUGCAGUUGAAAGCUCGUAGUUGAAUUUCGGGGUCAGUAGGUUGGUCGUGCCACUGGUAUGUACUGGUCUCACUGAUUCCUCCUUCCUGAUGAGCUGUAAUGCCAUUAAUUUGGUGUUGCAGGGAAUCUGGACUGUACUUUGAAAAAAUUAGAGUGUUUAAAGCAGGCUAACGCUUGAAUACAUUAGCAUGGAAUAAUGAAAUAGGACGUUCGAUCCUAUUUUGUUGGUUUCUAGGAUUGACGUAAUGAUUAAUAGGGAUAGUUGGGGGCAUUAGUAUUCAAUUGUCAGAGGUGAAAUUCUUGGAUUUAUUGAAGACUAACUACUGCGAAAGCAUUUGCCAAGGAUGUUUUCAUUAAUCAAGAACGAAAGUUAGGGGAUCGAAGACGAUCAGAUACCGUCGUAGUCUUAACCAUAAACUAUGCCGACUAGGGAUCGGAUGAUGUUAAUUUUUUAAUGACUCAUUCGGCGCCUUACG
rnacentral:rRNA from 1 species